UUCAGGCAGAGCUGCGGAACAGAUGGGCACGCUGCCAUCAUAGAACCUGGCUGUGCUUGCAGAUGGAGGUGAUCUUGGAAAAGGCAAUCAGAGUUUCUGCUCCUUGGAGUGCUCUUCUGAAAACAUCGACAAUGACAAAAUAGCGUAAAGGCCAGUGGAGUAAUAAUGAAACGGAAAUGAAAUGCCUAACAGAAUGCCUGCACAGCACCACAAGUUUUCUUUUGUUCCUUGGAUAAGUUGCCUCUGAAAAUGGGGCCGUGAUAUUGGCUAGAAUCAGUUAAUGGAGACUCACCUCAUGGCCUCAGAAGGCUUUCUGUUUCUGUGAGCUUCUAUCCCAAUGUGGUAUAUG